AACGAUGCCAGCUAUGUGUUGCUGGAACCAUGGGUUCCAGCAGUGCCGAAAGGAAGCCGUGAAGCUGGCCACCUGGGAAGUACGGUCGCAAUGCUGAAACUUAAAGGGAUUGGCGGGGGAGUACCACAACCGGUGGAGCCUGCGGUUUAAUUGGAUACAACGCCGGGAAUCUUACCGGAGGGGACAGCAGUAUGAAGGCCAGGCUAAAGACCUUGCCAGAUCAGCUGAGAGGAGGUGCACGGCCGUCGCCAGUUCGUACCGUGAGGCAUCCUGUUUAGUCAGGCAACGAUCGAGACCCGCAGUCUUAUUUGCCAGCAUGCCCUUUGGGGUGUAUGGGUACAAUAAGACGACUGCCAGCGCUAAGCUGGAGGAAGGAGCGGGCUACGGUAGGUCAGCAUGCCCCGAAUCCUCCGGGAUACACGCGGGCUACAAUGGUCAGGACAAAAGGUACCGACCUCGAAAGAGUGAGGUAAUCCACAAACCUGAUCUCAGUCCGGAUCGAAGGCUGCAACUCGCCUUCGUGAAGAUGGAAUCGGUAGUAAUCGUGACUCAAAAUGUCACGGUGAAUAUGUCCCUGCUCCU
rnacentral:rRNA from 1 species